rnacentral:rRNA from 1 species
GUACACACCGCCCGUCGGUACUACCGAAUGAAUGGCUCAGUGAGGCCUUCGGACUGGCUCGAGGAGGUUGGCAACGACCACCUCAAGCCGGAAAGUUCGUCAAACUCGGUCAUUUAGAGGAAGUAAAAGUCGUAACAAGGUCUCCGUAGGUGAACCUGCGGAGGGAUCAUUACACAAAUAUGAAGGCGGGCUGGAACCUCUCGGGGUUACAGCCUUGCUGAAUUAUUCACCCUUGUCUUUUGCGUACUUCUUGUUUCCUUGGUGGGUUCGCCCACCACUAGGACAAACAUAAACCUUUUGUAAUUGCAAUCAGCGUCAGUAACAAAUUAAUAAUUACAACUUUCAACAACGGAUCUCUUGGUUCUGGCAUCGAUGAAGAACGCAGCGAAAUGCGAUAAGUAGUGUGAAUUGCAGAAUUCAGUGAAUCAUCGAAUCUUUGAACGCACAUUGCGCCCUUUGGUAUUCCAAAGGGCAUGCCUGUUCGAGCGUCAUUUGUACCCUCAAGCUUUGCUUGGUGUUGGGCGUCUUGUCUCUAGCUUUGCUGGAGACUCGCCUUAAAGUAAUUGGCAGCCGGCCUACUGGUUUCGGAGCGCAGCACAAGUCGCACUCUCUAUCAGCAAAGGUCUAGCAUCCAUUAAGCCUUUUUUUCAACUUU